rnacentral:lncRNA from 1 species
GAGGAAUUAUUCCGACUGCAACGCAGAUUAAAUCUACGGAUUUAAUUUAAGUUAUAUUACAGUUUAUCAAGUUAGCAGGCAAGGAAAAAGAUAUCAAGCUAGAUGAUUUUUUUUUAGUAACUUCAAUACUUUACAAUCAUCAUUAUUUUCCACUCCCUAAUGUCUCCUACACUAUCAGCCACCAACCUCACCACUACACCUACUCUUCCACUUCACUUUGCCACCAUUACAACGCCAAUAAUUUGGCAUUUGCAUAAAGAAGAAAAGAGAAAGAAUAGAAUAAGCUAAUAGAAAGAAAAAGUGGCUGUCCACCAAAAUUUUGCUCCCCACCUCUCCACUCCACCAACUUCUCCACCACACUCAAGUAUAGCCACUAAUUCACCUCCAUUCUACACUAACUCCACGAGAAGAGCAGGAGAACUUCACUCAUCUUCUGCAAGCAUCCAAGAAAAUCCUCAUCUGUCCAUCGUUGCAUCAAAGGCAAGAAAGCAAACUUGAAAAUCAACCAAAGAGAAAAACCCAGCAAGUGUAGAUCUUUCUAAAGUUUCAAGCAUUUGUUACUCCAGCUAACAAUGGAAGAAGUAAAAUAAACCAUCAGUUCAUUUCCCUGCCAAAACUUCAAGAGGUAAAUUUGGCUUUAAUUCAUCCACUUAAAUUCUUAUACUCCUGCAAGUAUUGAGAAAAGCCAACAACCUUCUAUUUCAGUUAUCAUCAAUUCAACCACAGCAACAUCCCACCGAAACAAACAUUCAAGGUGAUCAAUCUAUCUCUGUUAACUCCCUCAUGUCGCACAAGUCACAACAUCAGAUUAUGUUUUUAUGAAAGAAGUGAAUAGAAAGUAGGAAGGCUUAUUCACAUAAGAAAUACAGAACUUAUUGAUGAGCAGUAUAAGCACCUAUAGAGACAACAAUAGGAUUUAGAACACUUAUCUUGCUAUAGGAAGAACGACGGCUUUCCCGUUCAGUUGAAACUGAGACGACGAUGACAACGGUGAAGGCGACACCCUUCGUCGGGAACAGCGACAGCAACGCUGGACGGAACUGGCGGAAGCUGAACGACGCCGGACCUAAGCUCGGCGGCAGCCGACGCAGGUUGGAGCAUAGAAGGCGACUGAAGCUCGACUGAUGUUGAGAGAGGCCGACUGAUUCUACGGAUUCCGAACGAAGGAGCAGCAGCGACCGACGACGGCGCUCUCCCAGACGACGACCGCUGACCACCGGACGAGCAGCAGCAGUCGGCGGCGACUCCAGGCGUAGCAGCAGCCGCUCCAGACGGCGGCGAUGGCUCCAGACAAGGGCGUGACAGCAGCCGACGUUCGCCGGAUCCCAGUUCUUCAACGGCGGCAGCGAUUUAUGAUGGGAGAAAUUAGGGCUCUUGUUGGUGUGAUUUCUGAGGGAUUCACUCGAGAGGUGAAGGCGUAAGAGAGAAGCAGACAGGGUUGCGCCGACCGAUUGUGCGGCGACCUCGCCAGAUUUGCAGAAGCAGCAGACGCGGCGGCGAAAUUGCGACCUCGCCAGAUUUGCAGAAGCAGCAGACGCGGCGGCGAAAUUUUGAAAGAUGAAGAAGAGGACUCUCGGCCUUGAAUUCUGUAAAAAAAAAACGUUUGAGAGUUGAGAGAGAAAGAGAGCCGAGAGCUUGAGAAGAGAGAGGGAUUGGGCUAUGUUGGGCUUACCCCUAUUUUAAUUAAUUGGGCUAAAUUGUGAGCUUGUUUAUUUUAAAUAAAUUGGGCUUUCCCUUUUAAUUUAUGUGGGCUACAGAUUUUAAGUGUUUUGGGCCUGAUUUAUUUAAAGAGUUGGGCUGAUGCUUAUUUUAU